UACGUAGGGGGCAAGCGUUGUCCGGAAUCAUUGGGCGUAAAGCGCGUGUAGGCGGCUUGGUAAGUCUGCUCUGAAAGCCCGGGGCUCAACCCCGGGAGGCGGGUGGAUACUGUCAAGCUCGAGUCCGGAAGAGGAGUGUGGAAUUCCUGGUGUAGCGGUGAAAUGCGCAGAUAUCGGGAGGAACACCUGUGGCGAAAGCGGCUCACUGGACCACAACUGACGCUGAUGCGCGAAAGCUAGGGGAGCAAACAGG
rnacentral:rRNA from 1 species